AGUUUGAUCCUGGCUCAGGAUGAACGCUAGCUACAGGCUUAACACAUGCAAGUCGAGGGGCAUCAUGAAGUUUGCUUGCAAACUUUGAUGGCGACCGGCGCACGGGUGAGUAACGCGUAUCCAACCUGUCCACCAGUAGGGCACAGCCCGGUGAAAGCCGGAUUAAUUCCCUAUGUUCUCCGAUGCAGGCAUCUAAGUUGGAGUAAAGGUAUAUCCGCUGGUGGUUGGGGAUGCGUCUGAUUAGGUAGUAGGCGGGGUAACGGCCCACCUAGCCGACGAUCAGUAGGGGUUCUGAGAGGAAGGUCCCCCACACUGGAACUGAGACACGGUCCAGACUCCUACGGGAGGCAGCAGUGAGGAAUAUUGGUCAAUGGGCGGGAGCCUGAACCAGCCAAGUAGCGUGCAGGACGACGGCCCUAUGGGUUGUAAACUGCUUUUAUAGGGGAAUAAAGUGAGGUACGUGUACCUUUUUGUAUGUACCCUGUGAAUAAGGACCGGCUAAUUCCGUGCC
rnacentral:rRNA from 1 species